rnacentral:misc_RNA from 1 species
UGCCAAUCCUUAGUGUAUUUAGUUUAGCGGCGGAACACAUGUACCUUGUGCUAGAAAGUUGCUAUUUUUCUCUCUAGAAAAUCUUUGUAUGUAAACAAGACAUUUUUCUGUAUUCUUCGGUAAUCAAUCAAUGAGAAUUUUUUUUUUCUUCUCUCAAAUCGGUUUGAACAUAAAACCCUUCUGACCUUCUACUCUAUUUUACCCAAUAAACUUAUAAAGACCCUCGAUUUCACACCAUGAGUAAAGAUGAAGUAAACCAAUAGAUUAAACAAACAUAAUACAGGCAAAUUGAAGAAAUGGGAAAACAGAGGCACGAAACACAGAGACAACAAUGAAUCAAAUUAUAAACAAAACACAGAAAAAAAGAAAAAGUACUUUGCGAGCGUAGAUGUCGGUGA